rnacentral:rRNA from 1 species
ACAGCAGUCGCCGCGGUAAUACGUAGGUGGCAAGCGUUGUCCGGAAUUAUUGGGCGUAAAGGGCUCGCAGGCGGUUUCUUAAGUCUGAUGUGAAAGCCCCCGGCUCAACCGGGGAGGGUCAUUGGAAACUGUGAAACUUGAGUGCAGAAGAGGAGAGUGGAAUUCCACGUGUAGCGGUGAAAUGCGUAGAGAUGUGGAGGAACACCAGUGGCGAAGGCGACUCUCUGGUCUGUAACUGACGCUGAGGAGCGAAAGCGUGGGGAGCGAACAGGAUUAGAUACCCGUGUAGUCCCUGUCUCUUAUAC